rnacentral:rRNA from 1 species
UACGUAGGGUGCAAGCGUUGUCCGGAAUUAUUGGGCGUAAAGAGCUCGCAGGCGGUCUGUCACGUCGGCUGUGAAAACCCGAGGCUCAACCUCGGGCCUGCAGUCGAUACGGGCAAACUAGAGUACUGCAGGGGAGACUGGAAUUCCUGGUGUAGCGGUGAAAUGCGCAGAUAUCAGGAGGAACACCGGUGGCGAAGGCGGGUCUCUGGGCCGAUACUGACGCUGAGGAGCGAAAGCGUGGGGAGCAAACAGG